rnacentral:rRNA from 1 species
CUGCCCAAUGACUUUAGUUCAAUGGCCGCGGUACCCUGACCGUGCAAAGGUAGCAUAAUCACUUGCCCCUUAAUUAGGGGCUGGCAUGAAUGGACACACGAAAGCUUAACUGUCUCAUAUUUACUAAUAAAAAUUAAUCUUUAAGUGAAAAAGCUUAAAUUUCAUUGCAGGACAAGAAGACCCCGUUGAGCUUUAUUCUCUAUAGACCACCAUCAAUAUUUUUAUAUCUUAAACCUAAAAAAGAAUUUAGUUGGGGUGACUAAGGAACAUCAAAAUCUUCCUUUAAAUACUUAGGGCUAUUUCCCAUAAAAAUUGACCCAUAUUUAUGAUCAAAAAAAUAAGCUACCACAGGGAUAACAGGCUAAUCUUUCUUAAGAGCCCAAAUUGUCAGAAAGGAUUGGCACCUCGAUGUUGGCUUAGGGGCCCCUAAUAGUGCAGAAGCUAUUAAUGGUAGGUUUGUCAACCCCUAAAACA